rnacentral:rRNA from 1 species
GACGAACGCUGGCGGCGUGCUUAACACAUGCAAGUCGAACGCUUCUUUCCUCCCGAUUGCUUGCCCUCAAUUGGAAAGAGGAGUGGCGGUCGGUUGAGUAACACGUGAGCAACCUACCCAUCAUAGGGGGAUAGCACUCGGAUACAGGUGCUAAUACCGCAUAACAGUUUAUGCCGCAUGGCAUAAGAGUGAAAGGCGCUUUCGGGUGUCGCUGAUGGUUGGACCCGCGGUGCAUUAGCGAGUUGGUGAGGUAACGGCUCACCAAGGCCACGAUGCAUAGCCGACAUGAGAAGGUGGUCGGCCACAUUGGGACUGAUACACGGCCCAGCCUCCUACGGGAGGCAGCAGUGAGGAAUCCGCGGCAAUGGACGAAAGUCUGACUGACCAACGCCGCGUGACUGAAGAAGGAUUUCGGAGCGUAGCAAUCUGUGGAUAGACAAGAACGAGGAUCUUAGUUAGUGAACGUCGCAUGACAGUAGUCAAACAGCAAGCCACGGCUAACUACGUG